CGCCAAGUUCUCCGUCCGCGCCGCCGGCUCCUACGCCGAUGAGCUUGUCAAGACUGCGGUAUGCACCCCCAUGCAACUUUACUUUUUACGUACCUUGGCCAGCUUUCUUUUACACAUUCAUAACUUUAUUUUUCUGCAUGUGUUAGUUUAUGGCUUUAUUUUGCUGCAUGUGCUAGUUUAUGGCUGUAGAGAAUAGAUUCACACACUUGUAUCAUCCAGAUGAGUAAGAAAUAGACUAGAUUCCACCUGAAUAUACGGUUUGCAAAACUUGUACAUCAGAUUAUAGCCACUGUUAGCAGCAGAUAUAUGGGGUUCAAGUGGGUACACCUGCAACACACAGAAGAAACAAUCUUUUAACAUGCUAUUAGUAUGAAUCUCUGCAUAAUUUCAGUGAUCUAAUGAGAUUUCUUUUUCUUUUUUGGGAACACUAGAAAACAAUAGCAUCAC
rnacentral:lncRNA from 1 species